rnacentral:rRNA from 1 species
UACAUAGGGUGCGAGCGUUGUCCGGAAUUAUUGGGCGUAAAGAGCUUGUAGGCGGUUUGUCGCGUCUGCUGUGAAAAUCCGGGGCUCAACCCCGGACUUGCAGUGGGUACGGGCAGACUAGAGUGUGGUAGGGGAGACUGGAAUUCCUGGUGUAGCGGUGAAAUGCGCAGAUAUCAGGAGGAACACCGAUGGCGAAGGCAGGUCUCUGGGCCACUACUGACGCUGAGAAGCGAAAGCAUGGGGAGCGAACAGGAUUAGAUA